UUCAGCAACCAAGAUGUAAACAUAAACAAGUCUCAGCAACCGAAUUCGCAGUCCAAGUUGCCUAGUGUGGACUAGGCUUUACCCUACCACAAUCUGUCUCAGGAAAUACUCUAUCACAGCACGAAUCAAAACAAAAAAAAAUCCGCUCGCGGCUCGCGAUUUCAAAUUCAUUUAAAUAAAAAUACGAAAUUUAAGACGCGUUUCCGUUUUCCAUGGUCCGAGAAAUACUGACAUGCCUCUUCCUCGGUGUCUCGAAACAUCGUCGUAUAGACGGAUUCAGCAGCAUGACUUCAGAUUCCAGAUCCAUCCCCGGUUCACGGAAGGCGGUCCAUCGUAACCGGUGUAUAAACAACUAGUAUAGCUUCUAAACUCAAUGGGACUUCCGAAAAAUUUUUCAUGGAAAACAACACGCAAACUUGGUGGAUGGAGACUUCUUGAGCGGAUGUAACCCGGAUAGGACUUAUGAAAAAAUAGCUCAGCGAAACUCCUGAUCCGGAAUUUGUUUUAAUAAAUAAUUUCCAACUCUUAUCGUC